rnacentral:lncRNA from 1 species
UCUAAGAUUUUUGUUGAGCUUCUUGCCACAAGAAUGUUUCUUGAUAAUAUUGUCUGUAUGUAGAACUGCUCAUCUUGGGCUAGGUAUGAGAAAAGUCCUUGAUACAGAAGCAUACAUGAUCUGGGUCUUCUCACCAACCACCUUGUCUCCUUUAUCCAACUUUUUCACAAGAACAGCAAAAAAUAACCAAAAAUAUUUAAAACAAUUACACAACUCAGGAGCUCAAUCCUCGCAUAUUUCAUUCAUUCUAAUUAUAUUAUUUAAAAAAUCUGCAAAGCACUCACUUCUUGUUUCGGAAUAGGCACACUACGACAAUAAAAUAACUCUGUCGUCUUUUCUACUCAAGAAAGCCAAGCCA